UACAGAUUUCCUUCUUCUUCUCUGCGAUGACUCUCGGUUCCACAACAAAAGAAAUGCACCAACACCCAAGCUUCACAGAUCCAGGGCCAAUAGUCCAAAACUCAUCCAUCUGCAGGUAAAAACUCAGUCUCCUCCAAAAGCUAGCUCUGAUUAUAAUAUAUGAACUCCAUUUUUCACCGAUGGUCAUAAACAAAAGUUGAAGAAAAAUAAAGUAAAACCCAUCUAUGUUCCCACUGAUGCACAGGAUCGGACUCCGAUGUCGUGGAUGACUCCCACUGCUUCUUCCAAAUCUUCAUCUUCUUCCAAAUCUUCAUCUUCAUCUUCUUCUUUGUCUUCUGCAACUUCCCAGAAAUACAGAGGAUCCAUACCGUCCACCUAAAAAAAGCAGGUGACGUCGCCCUGACGUCAUACCCACUCGGGCUCUCGGGCUGGCACGAGUUGCCAGGCCUCUCCCUCGAGCUGGGCCUGUCCCUCUGGCUGCCACACGCUGGACCUCUCCCGUCGGGCUCUAUGGCACUGUUCAACCCACUGUCCCCCGAGUUAUAGCUCCCGCUGGAGCUGCUCUAAACGGAAACUAGCAGAUGAGUCGAAAAGAGUAGGGUCUCAGAUCAAUGCAAAGAUUUCCCUUGCCCCACACUGGGGGUCCCACUACAUUAUUUGACCUGUCAUUUUGUUUCAUGUGUCGUCAUCUUGCCUUCAAGAUUAAGGAUGAGGAUCCUCUCUGAAUUCUCUUUGUAAGGAUCUUAGGAAUCUUAACAUUCUAUAUGUUCAUCGUAUAUCAUAUGACCAGCUUUUGUUAUGUAGUGUUUGUGUUUAAUUUAAAAAAAAAUAAAUUAAAGUACUUAAAAUCCUCCAACCUUUUAGUGUCAUUCCAAAUUGGUCUCACAUUUUUAAAUAUUUUAAACAAGUACUCAACCUACUAAAAAUGUCAUAUCCGUUAAACCCUAGUUAAUUUUUCGAACGAAUAUUAUAUUCAAAACUCACAAACUGGUAUAUCAUGGACAAUAUUAAUACUAGUUGCUCUCAAAAUUUCAAACAUAAAUUGCAUAAUAUGGAAUUCAAUGAUC
rnacentral:lncRNA from 1 species